GAGGGAAAUGGAGAGACAGAGAGGAGGAGGAGGAGGAGGAGGAGAAGGGAGGGAAAAGGGAUGCUGCAUUUCAGUGACAGCACAGACUGAGGCUGCAGCAGUAGAGCGAGAACGUUGAGAGAGGUAGAAAUUAAAAGGGAGGAGCAGUGAACACGACAGGAUUCCCAUACAGUCACCAGUGUGCACUUGAAGAAGCAGCAUCAGAUGUUGAAGAGGAGGGGGGGAUUUGUGUCAGGGACCACAGCAUGUAAAAGGCGAUUUUCACCAGUAAGAAGAGGAGGAAAACAAGUCACCUAUGAUUUAACUGAAACUACUAUGAGGCGCAAGAACACAGAGAUCAAGAAGAAAUUAAAGGCAGAAUCCUGCUUCUGCUGUGAAAAGUGUGACUCUGUCUCUGUCCUCUCCUUGCUUGACUGUGUAUCCACAGGACGUCCUUCUGUCUGCCUCAGUUGGAUGCAGAGCCAUCAUUUUUGAUUCCUGCAAUAGAAAGAAAUGCUGAUCGACUCCUGGAAUUGUUAGGGAGAAGAGGUAAAAAAUAAAUAAAUAAAUAAAUACAUUAAAAAAAAUAGAAACACCAGAGGAAAAUUUGCAAGCUUCUGGAAGGAAAAGGGAGGAGAGAGUAUGACUCAGAGCACGGCAGCAAGAAUACGGUGUAUUCCGCAUGCAAGAGCAGAUGUGGAGGGACGUAGAGGGACAAUGAGGAAGAUAUAGGGGGAGAAAACCGAGCGGACUUGGCCAGAACUGAGCUGUCACUAGACACAAGAACGGCAGGAGGAGAACAGAAGCGCACUGGUACGCAGUGAGGGAGAUAUAGGCCAAGUGAAUCAGGUUGCUGGAGGGAGACGAAAGCAAGAAGAGCCUCGAAAGUGGAGCGUUUAGUGUGACUGAAGCCGGUCCGGGGAAGGUUGAAUGAAGGUUUGCUGCAGGGCAGACAGUGCAUGAAGAACUGCAAAAGACAGAAGGAUACGCUUAGUGAAAAAUUGCUUAAGCUCCCACAGGGGAUAAAGUCCCCAGUGACUAUACUGCUACAGGGAGAGGGCAUGACCAGGUUUUGUAUGUGGCAGAAGAAUCUCCAAGAAGGUUGGCGGCAGGAUCGGAGGACAGUGACGGAGUAAAACAGAAGGUAGAACAAACACACAAAUAACUGGGCUAAAACGGGACAGGGGAAAACUGUUGAACGUGAAAAAUAACCGAAGACCAGAGAGCUCGACAUCCGGCACACAAGCGAUGGAGACGUGGAAACUUUAACUGUGACAGCAGCGCAGCAAGAGGUUCCUGUUAAAUAUUGAUGCUGACAGGCCACUCUGGAAGAAGCUCGCUCCUUGUACCGCGGAGGAGAAAACAGAAGAGCCGCUGCUGAUUUUUUCAUUCUAAGGGGGUUUUUACACCGGAACGGACAAGCCGUUAAAGUGUGUCAGAUGACAGAGUGUGGUAGAGGAGAGAUGUUGCAGCAAACUAAGACAAGACCUCCAAAUUAGCUGAGGAUUAGCUCCCUUUUCUCCAAUUUUUGUUUUUUGGCAAGCUUUGCAGCCUCAUGGGAAGAGUUGAUGAACUGGACCUUUAUGCUGUGUUGGGAACUGCACAGGCUAAAGGGAUUAGUGUUUGAGAAGUCGCCGACAACAACUGAGGACUAGAGCUAUUUCUACCUGCUUUGAGAGCCACCCUGCACCACUGCCAGAAGACACAAUAAAAUGAUAUAAAAAAAAAAACUGCCGAAGCACAAAUGUGAUUUUGUGACGGAGUUACCGGAGCUGUUAAAUGUCAAGCGAAAAUGGCUCCGUUACAAAGAUUUGACCGGUGAAGGACUGCUCGAGGAAAUAUGUGUGAAUGUGUGCAUAAGCAGAGUGGAUCACUGACCUGGAGGCACGAUGCGCGCAGCCUUUGCCUCCGUGACUAAAUGAAGUGACAGUGGCUCAUAAUGUCAUCAAGUUAGGGAGCUGCCUUCCCUCCGACCUGAGUCACCGAUUCCUCAAAACAUCAAAACUGCAAGUGACUGAGACGCAACGCCACAGCCUCCAUCCAGCUGUGGACAGACCAGCUGUGUGCUCAUGUGUGGGGGGAGUGAGAGGCUGUCGAGGAGCUCAGCUGUCUCUGCGCGUGUGCUCGUGUGGGUGUAGAGGUGUGCGUGCUCGUGCCGAGCUUUGAACCCAGCUGUGUCUGAGUGCGUUAUCACAGAGUCACCCGGAGCUCCGCGUGCGUGUGUCAGCCUGUGUGCGUGGGUGUGUGUGUGCGCGCGUCGCCCGGAUUCCCCCCACCAGCGAAAGAGCUGGACCUGAACAGCCGUGGUAAGAAGGGGGACAGGGACGGGGAGAAGGAGGGGGAGGAGGAGGAGAAGAAGGAGGAGGAGGAGGAGGAAGACAAGAAGAAGGUGAAAGAAGAAACCAGCAGCACGGAGGAGAAGAAAAAACUGACAACAUGCUCGGAUAAAAAGAAGAACGGAAAGAGUCUUUGGCUGCCCCCCUGGUGCAAUGUGUGGCGUUGCGCCCUGUGGUGGUGGGGUUCUGUGAUGGUAACCAUGGUCCCCGGCAGCCGCUAUGUCUGCAGCGCUCACGCAAGGGAGGACGACGCCACGAACGACCGCGAGGAGCGAAUCUUAGCCGUGCUGGGCAUCAUCGGAACCAUCCUCAAUCUUCUGGUGGUCAUAUUUGUCUACAUCUACACCUCCGUCACCUAAGAGACUUUAACAGGGGACGAACGUGCCUGACUUUUCUGCACACUGCCAGCUCCCCUCUUUAAGUAUUUAUGUACUUUGAGGGUUUGAUUAUACUAAGUGAGAUGUGAGGAUCAUUGGCAGUGACUUCAGCUGGAUCGUAGCCAUAUUUAUCUACAUCACUGCUUAUCCCUUGAGACGACCCUGCUCUUGUUACCUACGGACUGCACUGCUCAUUAAACUGUGUCUUCACAUAAUAUUUCGCAUGUCAAAUGACAGUGUGCCAGUUUGGCAAUAGCCAUGCAUCUGUAUUUAUAGUGAUCCGUAACAUUUCUUUGACUUUUCGGACAGCCGCAGCUGUUUGACGUGAUGGUAGUCGUAUUUGACUGUGCUGCAUCUUCCAUUUUGAGAUAUCUCUUAAAGUGUGUGACUUCUGUUUUUAAUGAGAUUUUAAAUAUUAACACUGCCACUUCAAUAUAUCUAGAAGCUAAGACUAACAAGACUCCCGAGUUGACUUGACCAAAUCAUAAGCUAAGGAAGACUUUUAAUGGGGACCAACAUUGCAGAUCGCAAUUAUCAACAGUGGGCCCGUAAAUUUACUUGAAUAUAACAUCGGUAGCUAUCGCUAAACGCCAAUUUCUUUAUCUAGUGGGAACCGUAGAAGAGUUUUACAUGGACCUAGCGUGUCCAUACCUCAGCACGCCCGAGGAGAGAUUCCUGGCUGUGCUCGGAGUCAUCGGCAUCGUCCUUAACCUCCUGCUGCUCGUCUUUGUCUAUAUAUACACCACCACCUGAUGAGGCGUGCAGCUUCCUCCCCACGUGUGAUAACCUGCCACGCCUAAAAGCCAGACUUGCCAGUGACCAUAUUGUUGUGAAACUGUACCUGUACACUGUAUAUUUGUAACCUGAGCACAUUCAUGUGAAUAUUAUGUGUUAUUCUGGGUGGAAUCCUGUGCCUGAUACUCAAAUAGUAUUCUGAAUUUCAAAGGAAAAAGAGGUGAUAUCCAGAACUGAAGAGAAGCAGAUUUUAUUACAUGUUGAAUAUUUAAAAAAAAAAAAAAUCUAAUUUUUGUAGAGAUUUGUGUGCUACAGUUAAUGUUUUUACUUACUCUUUCACACGUGUGCGUCGUAAAGUGUUUACUUAAGCAUAUAUUGCCAUAAUGAAAUGCUCUCUAUUAUGCUUUGACCAAACCAAUUAGCGGAAAAGGCUGCCACCACUGUAGCAACUCUGUUUGUUCUACAUCGAGAACACAAGGACAUGGAACAGGAUGGCGUCCGCACAGAAGCUCCGCACAUCGGCAAAGACCUGUCUGUGCGCGGCUGGUGCCAUGGAAUAAUGGCGCAUUUUCUGGUGUCGUGCUUCUGUGAUUGGAAGCCGGGCGCCGAGCAGCACCGGAGAGGGCAAAGCGUGAAAGCAACACCAUGUCACACGAAUCCAAACAGCAUCGCGAAAGACUGCAGCGGUGACACAGGAAUCACAGGGAACCAGGGCGGACUAUCUGAAGCAGGAGGAAACAAAUCCCCUCUACAAAGCCUCGCCACCUGUCUCAAAACUCAAGAAGGCACAAAAUCUUCCAGGAGGUUCGGUUACAGCACGUCCACAUGUCGCCGCGGAUGUGAUUUUAGGUUCAGGCACUACAUCUCCAACGCGGGAGCGAGCCUGAAUGCAGCUGACAAGCGAGCUGCAGUGACUGGCCUCAAUCUGCACUUCAUCCUCGUCAUUCUCUUUUCCACCAACAAGCUAACGCCAGAGAAAACAUAGUAACGCACUGUGUCUUUGCUGUCAUUUCACGUAGCACAGGUACAGUUUGUUUUUCCAAAAUGACUGACCAGCAACUGCUCUCUAGCAAUUUUACAUGUUGGCUUGUGUGAAAAAAAGAAAAAGAAAAAAAAAGUUUUGAUAACUAUUGCAAAUGAGUCCUUGUUACAUUAUAUGUGCUGUUAGUUUUAGUGUUUUGCAAGAGUGUUUGGAAGUCAGAUCAAGCUGGAAAAUGUUUGGGAACUCAAUAUACUGGUUCUGGUGACGACUAAACAGUCUAUUUUUAUAAAUUGUAUACGUAAAUGGAAUUAAGUGGAUCAACAAGUGACCACCACUUGCCUCCAAAAUUAAUUAGCUUUACAGGAAAGAGGAUGCAUCUGAAGGUUACUGCCCAUGUUAGUAUUAUUCUCAAAGACCCUCACUGCCAAAUUGCUUUUCGCCCUAAACCUUAACCAUCACAUGCGUAAUCAAAAUUUUUAAUGUAACCAGUCCGAGGCAGAAGCUUGUUUACAACUUGUUCAAUUAUUAAUUAACUUGCCCUGUUCAAUACGUAAUCAGUCGAACAGAAACAAACCACGUUAUUUUCUUGAAUUCGUCAUGCUAGUCGCGAAAAGACUUGCUAUGUAAAUAAUGAGAAUUUUAUAUAUAUAUAUAUAUAUAUAUAAUUCCCUGGUCUUCACGGAGAUAGAAAUCCAAAAGCUCACACACAAGCCGCUGUUUAGUUUCACGCCAUCUCUCAGCACACAGUCGACGGUUUGCGCGCUGAGAUGGAUGUGACUUGCGCAUUUACUCCCUGUCACAUCCGAUAACGUUACAGUGAGAGUCUGCUGAGCAAAAUCCAUUUUUAAGUGUGCAACAAACCGCAGCCACGAGCUACCCUCGGUUUGCCAGACAUCUGCCGUCAGACUGUGACAGCCGAAGCCAAAGCCAAGUACCGGAGGUAGUUAUUGAUCUGCGCUGCCUCUGCAUGGAAGGCCACCUGAUGUUUGCAAGAGAAAAAUAAAUGAAUAAACAUUGGAGCAGACAAGCAAUCUGUUCCUCAUUUGUGUGAAAGCAAAGCUUUUGUAGCAUUUCUUUAUAAUGAAGCAUCUUAUAAAAGGGCUUUUAAAUUACACCUACUUACUAGUUAUUAGUUCAUAUAUUAUUGAAUAAUGCAGUACACAUUACUUAGAAGCAGUUAUGGAGAGUAUCUUUUGAGCUUUUUCAGCAGCCUGACGUUUGUCCUUUGGCAUGUGUUUCAGUUUAACUUGGACAACUAGUGAAACUCUACAAGCUCAGUUGCCCUUGUUUUUAGCUCACUUUGGGAUAUUAACAAGGGUUCGCCGUGAUUUUAAACAGCAUUAUUACCAAACAACAAUGGGGAUUUCAGAAAGAAUGAUCAGCACUGAUAAGAAAAAGGUUUCUAAUGAAGAGUUCUAACCGAUCUAUAGUGUUAGUUGAUGAAAAUACUUUUUUUUUAAGUUCUUAUUCCAAGGAGAAAAAAACAAGCUAUUCUAGAAAAGAUAUAUCACACACGUUGCAAAAGCCCAGGAUGACUCAUCUAAUACAGUCAGGGUUUAGAUGAUUAUUUAAAGCUAAAUCACAAAUACGUUUAGAAAAUUAAAUUAACAAAGGUGUAUUCAUCAACAUUAUUGCAGGUUUAUAGAAAGCAUUCCAGUGUCUUAAGAAAAGCUGGGGGUUGCAUUGGGCUGUAUCUCUUCUUUCUUCUAAAUGCAGAUCUAGUCGAUAGUUUACACCACUUUUAACUUGACGGAGUUAUUGCUAAGUGGACCAAUGAGAGUAGAGAGCCUUUAGGGUGAGUCCUGGCCAUCUGCUGUCCCAGUAGACACCGACAUCGACCUUACACACACCCAGCGUUUUUUUUAAGAAUACAGCUGAAACACUCACAUUUGAUUUUUUGGAGGCAUGGAUACAGUCUUCAGUACAAGAGGUGAAACAAGCAGCGACUUCUGACCGAUGUCCGCGCACGGACUGUUAACAGAGAACUUUGAAAAACAAGCUGUUCAUGCAGGCAGAUGAGUCCGUAUGCAAAAGCGCUCAUUGUGAGUCAGAGCCAGUCAGCGUCCGUGUUCAGCCAAUGCAAAGACGGAUUCUAGAGUUUUUUUUUAUGAUGCAUGAGCUAAACUGCACAUUGGGCCACAGGCUGCUCCGAGACUAGACAAGAGGGAACAACGUGGAGGAUCUCUGAGACAUUUUAAUGUUAUUUCAGAGUCACAAAGCCGAAGAAAUUGAAUUAGGAGGGGAAAUAAAGAAUUUGCAUGGGUAGGCUCGAGUGUUUUGCACAUCUCUUUCCAUCUUUAUAGCAUUUGUUACGACUCCACCCAAAGGAAGAGGCAGAGAGAGCUCCUGGCACGCGUUUGUUUGGCAUUUCAUUUCUCACUUAGAUGCAAAUUAUUUCUAGGGCAGGCAGGACCAGUGAAUCAUAAAAUAGGUGUCAGAUGUGACGUGUUGAUUUACUGACAGCAGCUGCUGCUUGUCAGGAAACUCAAGAUUCAGGAUGGGAGAUGUCUAAAAUAAUUACUAUGAUAAAGGUUAUAUAUCCAGAUGGUUAAAAAAAAAAAAUCACAACAUUAAAUUCCAUUUCUGAUGAAGUUGAUGAAAUGUUCAAUAUGAUCCUUGAGAGGUGUUGUUGAAUAUGUUUUGAGAUCCGAUGUGCUUUCAUGUAAUCUUUAUAUAUAUAUAUAUGAUACAUAGUUAUAGAAAUGUCAAUAAAAAUGAAAAGUGCCACUUUGAAA